CAAUAGCGUAUAUUAAAGUUGUUGCGGUUAAAAAGCUCGUAGUUGGAUUUCUGCUGAGAACGACCGGUCCGCCCUUUGGGUGUGUAUCUGGCUCUUUCUUGGCAUCUUCUUGGUGAACGUUGCUGCACUUGACUGUGUGGAGCGCUACCCAGGACUUUUACUUUGAGGAAAUUAGAGUGUUUCAAGCAGGCAUACGCCUUGAAUACAUUAGCAUGGAAUAAUAAGAUAGGACCUCGGUUCUAUUUUGUUGGUUUCUAGAGCUGAGGUAAUGAUUAAUAGGGAUAGUUGGGGGCAUUCGUAUUUAACUGUCAGAGGUGAAAUUCUUGGAUUUGUUAAAGAGGGACUACUGCGAAAGCAUUUGCCAAGGAUGUUUUCAUUGA
rnacentral:rRNA from 1 species